AAGGAAUCAUAGCUUUCACCUGGUCAGCAUGUCAUGGAACGAGCAGGUGUUCCUAAUGUUUUGUACACUCUGUGUAUUUUUAUUAUAUUUAAGGAGAUAUAUAAUUUAUUUGGUAAAAGAGGUAUAAUUUAUUUGGUAAAAGAGGUAUAAUUUAUUUGGUAAAAGAGGUAUUCAUGAUGUAUCUUUUUAGUAGAUUUAUGAGGAAAAGUUUUCAUGAUACAAGUAACGUAUAUUAUGCCUGCCUUUUCUCUGAGCAGUUUAGUUUAAUGUGCACAGACACACAUUAAAGAUGUAUUUCUUGUAAUUACUUAAGAUUAUUACUUAUGGAAAGUUGUGUCAUACUACAUUAGCAUUUUACUGACUGAAUUACUUUUUAAAAAACAAAGUAGAUUUGACAAAUGUUUUUGUGUGAGGACACUUAAGAAAUAUUAGCAUUGUCCUCAUCCAAAAUGAAAAGUUUACUUUUCAAAAAAACUUUUGAUUUAUUGAUUUAAUGUGUACUUUUUUUUAUUGUACUUUUAUUUUCUAUGGUGAAAACAAAGAAGCAUAUUUUUAAUCGUCUGUGAAAUUAAAGAGGAUACCCCAGUCAU